UUCAGUAAUUGGGCCAAUGUUUUUAGACACUAAGAAAUUAAAAAUCUAUUAUUCUAUUGUCUAACCUAGGAGAGAGAAAAAAAAUCUGAAAUUUUCAAAAAAACAAGUGUGGCAGCCGUUUUCUACUUUUCCCCCUUCUCCAUCUUAUUGUCUUCUUCAGUUCUUCUCUUGAAUCUUCAUUUAGGUAACUUUAAGAAAAACACCUGAUUAAGAUUGAGAGAAGUGGAAGCUCCUCCAUAGUAGUCAUUCCUGUCCAUGUGCAAAACCUGUUUCAAGUGCCAACAAAGAAAGGUUAUUAUUACUUUUAUGUUCUUUUUCAUCACACAUACGUUCACACUUAGAAAUGUUUACUUCAUCGCGGACAUAACUACAUCUACGUAUUGGGUGGAUUAACUACCCUAAAUCCUAAUAGAGCAUUAUAGAAUAAUCAUUAAUAUUGAGUUGGAUUCCAUCUUAUAUAAAAUUCUAUUAGUAGUGGAAUAAAAAACUCACUAGAUCAAUCAAGUUUUAUCCCUUCAUCAUCACACUUACAUAAAACUUUAUAUUACGAUAGAGAUAUAUCUAUAACGAAUUGUGUUUUUUUAAAACAUAAAAUCAUAUAAGAAGAUUCCGAAUAUGUCCGCAUCGUUACCUCUACAAAUUUGACCAAUGCACAAAUAAAGAUAUAAAUUAAUGUCUAUUAUAGAAGGCAACUCUUUAGAAUGUUGGUGUCCCUUAAAAUACCUUAAAUGUCCUUUAUUUUCUUAAAAAUAUUUUAGGAUUUGAUGUUAAUGUAUUAGGACUAUUAUACAUUUGUCUAUAACUUGAAGCACACAUUGCGUUCAUUUAAAUCUGGAAAAGAUAAUAAUAGAACUCCCAACAUAUACGAAUUUUAAGUUUGAACCUUAGGUGAUUUCAAAAUAUAUACCCUAUCAACUACAUUGGUUGACCUAAUGGUUAAGAUUGAUGGGUUGUGAACAAUAGAUCACAAGUUCGAAUCCCUCCUCCCCUUCUUUAUACUUUAUAACGUUUUCGUGGCUCAUAUGAAUAAAAAGACUACAUUAGUUGAUGACACAGUCACUCAUUUGCCUAGGAGUAUAACUAUAACCAUAUGUGAGUGAAACUAAUUGUCCCACAUAAAGAUGAUAGGGAGAAAAUAACUAAUAACAUCUAAGAUUGGUGGACUACUUCUCCUAUGACUAAUUGAUUUUACGUUGAAAUUCUAUCAUAUCAUAGUUAAACUGUCCUCCGUUGUGGCCUUGUAUUAGGCCCAAUGAAGUUUAUCACAUUUCGAUCGUCAUUUUGACUCGAUGUAGAGCAAAACAAACUAAUUAGUGUUUUGAGAAGUGAAAUUCAUUUUUUAUUGGAUUUGAUUUCAAUGGUUCAUAUAUGUCCUACAAUUACCAAUUAAUGAUUUCAAAACAUAAUUACAAAUAAAGAUAUUAAUUUGGAGUUAAAGGAGAUAGAGAUAUACUUUAAGGCCAUCAACAGAAAGAAGACCACUGAGAAUGCAUUCUUUAAGACCAGUGCCAAGAACAAUUACAUCGUACUCUUCAUCCAUUGUUGUCGCUUCAACUUUUUUUUUUUAACUUCUUAUCAAAUUAAUUAAUUAACUCAAGAGAACUUAAGAAUAAUUUGGGAUUAGUAAUAUUGUUUAUGAAAUAGGAUUAGUAAUUUCAUUGAUUGAUUUUAGCCAAAGAAGUAAGAAAAUGGGCGUGAGUGUAGGAAUAGAAGGAAGUGAAGGGUGUAACGAGAAUAGCGUAAACAUCAUAAAAUGAAAAGAAAAUUAAAAAUCAUUCACUAAUCAACACAUUGGAAGUUUUGCGUAAAAUUAGCCUUUUUUUUUCCCACCCCUCUUUCUCUCUUAAUUUUUUUUUUUUGAAAGGCUCAUCUUUAAAUUUUACCACCUCCCACUUGUCAUGCUACAAUAUAACACAUCUAUUUUGAAGGUGAUUUUAAUUUUUACUAGCAGUUUGUUUACGAAUUACCAUGUACUCGAUGUACCUAGACCUCGUCUCAUUCGAUCACGACCGGGGAGCAAGUCAAAAUAGAAAAACUGACAUUGGAUUUAGGGAUAAUUAGGUUCGAACUGAUGACUUCCAUCACGUCAAGGUGACACUCUACCGCUGAAUUUUAUAUCUCUUCCUUACCCCCAUCGAGAAAUAGAACUGACUAAUCUUGAGGCAAAGGGUUGAGAGUGCCGUGUAGCCUAACGAGCUCUGUGCUUUGUCGGGCCGGGCCGGGCCUAAAACAAUUAUUAAGGAAAAGUCGUAUCAAGUCUUUUUUUAAACUUUAUUGUAUUAUUUUGCUUGUAUUAUUUGUAUAGAGUUGGGUAUGGACCAAUCCAACAUGAAGAAAUUAUUAUUUGUCUAUUGAUCAUGCAUUACGUAAUGAUGAGUGAUACCUUAGUUAUCAUUUGGUACAAUGGCCUUUAAUUAAACAACUACACUAAUAGUAAAUGUAUAAUAAGUAAUUUGUUGCUUCACCCAAGUUGUAUCAUUCCAUGGAUUAGGAAAGGAGAUAGGAAUGUAAAAGAGUGAAGAAAAAUUUUACGUGAAAAUCCUUUUAUAUUUGAAAAAUGUGAAGGAUUGGGGAGGUAAUUUUGAGAAAACUUUGCAUAAGUGCAUAAAUGGAAAAUAGUAUGUCAUGAAAGUUUGUAUAAAUACUUUUUACAAAGUACAAAGAAGAGAAACAGAGAUUUGAACAUGUGACCUAUCGUUCACAGCACAUCAAUCUGACAAUCUUAACCACUAGGCCAAGACAUCCAUAGCAUAAGUACUUGAUUGUACGAUAUCACUAGUACCAUACUCCAUAUAUAUUUUCACACCAUGCUAGUUUCACAAUAGAUCACUGUACUUAUUAUUAGUUACAAAAUAAAGCAGUUUUACCUAAAGUUUACAGAAAGAUAACACGUUUUAUUUGUAUUCACUUCACCUCAUCUACAUAAAAUUGCACCUUAAAAAGGUUAAAGUUGCAACUAAGUGGUAAUUCAAGAGGAUUAAACCAACCCCAACGUAAGCGCAGUGUCAAAAGAAACAUUCUUUUGAAUACAAUUAUUAUGAUCAGGAAAUUGUGACAAUUGUUGCUUCCACACAUUAUGUACUUUGCCUUCUGUGGCAUUAGUUAUCUGUAAAAGAUAGAUAAAAUUUCCCUGAAAAAAUUAACAAAUAAGCAUAUUGAACUGUCGUAUAAUUGAAUAAGCUCAUAAGAUAUAUUACCUUCUUCAAUUUUUUGUUGUUCUCCACCAAUGUGCUUUCCUGCAUGUAGUUGUAGAAUAAAAAUAAUAACACCAGGGUUGAGAAAAAAGAAAGUUGGAAAAAUGCAGGAAAUUAACAGUACAUGGAGAAUGUAGUUUAUUUUUUUGAAGUAAAAAUUCAUUCACUAAUAUGAACUUAUAAAAUCAUACGACAUUUAUAAUAGGAGUCAGAAACUAAAAAAUACAGAUCACGCAGAGAAUACAGUUUAAUCGUCGUAUAAAUUUUGGCCUUUUGGGUCACUUCACCUGUUGUAUACAAUAUGCUUGACAUCACAAGACUUAUUGUACUAAGAAUAACACUACUAUAGUACUAUGCACUAUGCAGCUAGAUUUGCUAUAUUCUGCUUGAGUAGUUGAGUCUACCUAGAUGGCUUGAUGUAUCUGUUAAUGCAAAUUAAAGUUUUGGAAAUCUAUACAUAUAGACCUGAGACUAUAUGAAUGAACAUGUGAACUAAUUCUCUAAACUAUAUAACAAACGUACUAUAUAAGUAUGGGUAACUUACCUACUCCUACCCCUAGAGUGAACAAUUUCCAUAAAUUUGGCCGGAGAAAGUGAGCAACUAACAAAAUAUUAAAGUUUCCCUUAAGAAAUACGCCAGUCAAAUAAUGUAAUUUCCUCUUAGAAAACAAACAACAAAAUAAUUUACCACAUUCCAAUGAUAUGGUAAAAUUGCAAGCAACCUAGAAAUUACAAUUUAAAGUAGCUAGUUAAAUAGAAGUAUGAAUAAAGAGUUUCUUCAUUUAGGCUCCGUUUCGUAGGGUGUAAAACAUUUUCCAGAAAAAUUGUUUUCCUCUCUUUUUAGUUUUACAUUGUUUGGUUUGCAAAGGAGUGUAAAACCAUUUUUCUUUGGAGUAAAAUUGCUCUCUCAAUGAUGGAAAACCAUUUUCCUUUCAAAAUGAAGGGAAAACUGUUUUCCCUUCUCUCUUGUACACUCUUCUCAUAGUCUCACUAUCUCCAUAAGUUCCCUUUUUAUUUUCCUCUCUUUUUAUCAUUUUUCUUACAUGGAAUCAAACAACGGAAAACUAACUUUGGAAUUGUGUUUUCCAUUGUAAAUUGUUUUCCAUUAAAAUCAUUUUACACUGAAAAUGUUUUACGCCCAAUCAAAACGGAGCCUUAAUCAAUUAUCAAUAGAUUGUACUUUCCUUUUCUUCCUUUAGACUAAUGCAAGAGUAAUCUUUAUUAACGUUUGAUCCCUUUAUAACAGUGUAUCUAUGCAGUCAUUCACAAUAAGGCACAAUAACAAAAUGACUAUUGGGAUGGAAUUAUUUGAGGCAACAUAUAAGGUGUUGCAAAAUUUACAUUCGUUUGAUCGAUUUCGAUGGACAGUCUCCUUACCUGUCAUCUAGUUAAUCAUGUUAUUAGAUGAUUAGUGAAAUAAAUGGAGACCUAAUACGUACAAAGGUUCUUUUCCCUGCUUUUUUGUAUUCUUAAGAAAAGUGUUAUCCUUAUUUUGAAAAAUCUUUUAAUUUGUCAUGCUUCUUGUUGAAAGGAGAUAUUAGAUAUAAGGCCAGAGAGACUAAUGUAACAUAUCCUGCGAGUUCUCUUUCGAAGAUAGUGUGAACUCGAGCUUAAUAUAUAUAACAUAUAGCUAUGUAACUACGCGGCCUGAAGCAUUUAUAUGUGUAAUCCAACAAGGCCUAAGAAAUAUCAAAAAUGGAAUGAAUGAAUGAAUGAACGAACUCAAUAUUAUAAGAUUCAGACUAGAAGAAGCUCACCUUUCGUUUGAGGUCUGUGAUCACUUUGUGAAGCUUAUCAUCCUAUACAAUCCACGACAUAUAAUAUCAAACAUUCAAUAAAUGGUCCAAGAAAAGAGUUUGGUUUAUCCUAGCUAAUUGAAAGUAGUAAUUACGCAGAUAAUCCAUUUCUACAAUCAUGUAAAGGGAGGCAUAAUUAUAGAUAACUAGUUAUUAGGUCCGGGCUAUGCCCCAGGUAAGAAAAAAUUUCAUUUAUUAAUAUGAUACUUUAUGCUAAUAACACUGAAUACAACUUAGUCUAGCAGUUAAGACUUUUAUAUAUGUACUUGAGGUCGCGGGAUCAAACCCCUAUACUACACAAUUUUUAAAUUUUUUUUAUUGUACAUCGAUAACAUGAACUAAAAUUCCCUAGGGAGAGCGCCACGUGGCACAGUUUCUUGUUUAUGCACGGCUUUUAAUAUAUUUGUAUAAAUAGAUAGAUAUACUUCUAGAAAAUGCCACCUUCAUGUGAAUAUCUCCUCCUUAACCACAAGAUCAUCAAUUAAGCUCGUAGAUGAAAAAGUGUACAAUCCGUGAUGCUUAUAUGUCAACCAAAUAACUCCUUAAUUUAGUAAUCUUCCUCUAGUCUAUUUAGUUUCACUUAGUUAAGCUCAUUAAGUAAAAAUGACAUAAAAGUUAAUGAAUUAGGAUAAAAGGAUUAACAUUAUAAAGGUAUUCCCUUCCUUUUACAUGAUAUAAAUUUGGAAUUUCAUUGUUCUCAUUAACCAAAUGAUGAUAAUCUCAUCUCUUAUAUGGGCAGCAAAAGAAAAGAGGGGGUAGAUAGCAAAAUUGAGAGGUUGUAAUUGACUCAAAGAUGAUAACAUACUCUCUCUACUCAUAUCCUCUGACUUCUCUCUAAAAACAAAAACCGUAAACCUAAAGCUCGCCGGAGAUCCGGCGCCGCACAAGGUUUCCGGCGGGUCUCCGGCGAGUUUCGUUGUUUUUACUCCGCUUUUCCGUAGUUUUUGUCGAUUUUCUUGCCUUUUCCAUCGUUUUUUCGUCGCUUUGAUCGCUUUUCUACGUUUUCGUCGGCCUCAUCGCCUCGCCGUCGAGAUUUUCCGGUCGUAGCUGCUCCCUCCAGCCUCCUCUCCGCCACCAUCUCGUGGACGCAUCUUCCUUUCACAGCGCCAUCAUCUUCCCCUCCCUCCCUGUUUCGUGGUCAGUGUUUCCCCCUCCCCUUCCCCAGUUUCGUGGUUAGUGUAUCCCCCUCCCCCUAGUUGUUCGUUCUUUUGGGCCUCCCCCUCCCCCUCCCCCUUCCCCCCUUAGUGUUGUUACUAGGUAAUUGUCCACUUUCAGGGCUUCCCCUUCCCCUCCCCCCUUAGAGUUGUAUCAAGAAAAGGUAAAUUUACAGGGCUUCCCCUCCCCCUUUCCCCCUAGUGUUGCUGCGUUGGGAGUUUCGUCAGGUGGUUGGCGUCCCCUCCCCCUUAGUGUUGUGUUUCUCUGGCUCUUUGAAGUGCGUCCCCUUACCCACGUUAAUUUUAGUUUACUGACUUCUUCAGUUCUUUGUCGAGGUUUUAGGUUGGAUUAGUAUGGUGUUGUUGAUUAUUAUGGUGAUGGCAAUUGUUUUAUUAAUCGGUGUCUGUAGUGGGUUAGGGUUUGCGUGGCAAGCGAUUUCAUGUUUGGGGUUUGUUUUAUCCGAUUUUUGUAAUCGGAUGGUUCUUCGAGAUCUAACCUUGGUUAGAUUUCAGUAUCGCUUGGUAAUGAUUUCAUUUAUCAUUGCCUUGACAAAAAGAAAUCUGAAGGCGGCCCUCCAAUUUCUCAAUUGGGGUUACAGCGCGUCAACUUAUAUGAGCUUCUCCUCACCGGAGAAGCCUGCAUUACCCUUCCAAAAGGGUAGUACGUCACACAAGCAUGUGACUUUUUCCACAAACUCGACCAUUGAAUUCCACGUGACAGAAGGUCACUGGUAUUGGUCUUGUUGCGAGAUCAUACUCUCGCUGGUAGCUAUUUUCCCCGCUCGUGAAAUCAGCUCUCUCCUCCUACUCUUUUUAUCCGGAUUCUGGCGAUUGUCAUCCACCAGCAGAAACGUCAUCCACCAGAUCGAGCAGCUUUAUUUUAGUUUAUGUUAUUUCUGUUUUUGCAGUUGUUGUGUAAGAGCGAGUUCCGCUCAAUUUAGGUUUUAUGUUCAUUCGGUUGUUUUUUAGUAUCAGGAUGUAACUUCGUUUUUAUUAAUGCACAAUUUCUUCGAUGUAAAAAAAAAAAAAAAAAAAAAAAAAAAAAAAGAAAA